AGUGAACGCUGGCGGUAGGCCUAACACAUGCAAGUCGAACGGCAGCACAGUAAGAGCUUGCUCUUACGGGUGGCGAGUGGCGGACGGGUGAGGAAUACAUCGGAAUCUACUUUUUCGUGGGGGAUAACGUAGGGAAACUUACGCUAAUACCGCAUACGACCUACGGGUGGAAGCAGGGGAUCUUCGGACCUUGCGCGAUUGAAUGAGCCGAUGUCGGAUUAGCUAGUUGGCGGGGUAAAGGCCCACCAAGGCGACGAUCCGCAGCUGGUCUGAGAGGAUGAUCAGCCACACUGGAACUGAGACACGGUCCAGACUCCUACGGGAGGCAGCAGUGGGGAAUAUUGGACAAUGGGCGCAAGCCUGAUCCAGCCAUACCGCGUGGGUGAAGAAGGCCUUCGGGUUGUAAAGCCCUUUUGUUGGGAAAGAAAAGCAGCAGGUUAAUACCCCGCUGUUCUGACGGUACCCAAAGAAUAAGCACCGGCUAACUUCGUG
rnacentral:rRNA from 1 species